CUAGGCUUUGAAUUGCAUGGUUAAUGUUUUGUUUUUAAGUGCAUACAAGCAUGAUUCCGCCUUUUAAUUGUUAAUUGCAUGCUAUAGAUGUUGCUUAAAUGAACAUGUUUUUCACAAUAUUUCCUUCAAGUGGUAUCAGAGCAUAGGUCUAGUAGUUGGUGAAUCCUUUUGGGUUUUGUAGUUCAUAGUCUUUGAUUUAAAUGUUGUAAUUGUUACAAGCUUUAUUCUUGCUGCUUUGAAUGUAAAUUUUGUUAGAAAAGUUGCCAUCUCAAAUGUUGUAGAUGUAGUUCAUAUGAGCAUGAAUUUUGGAGCUAAAAUUUGGUGCCAUUUUUUGUGGGAUUUUCGGCCAAAUCCAAAGGGUGGAUUUUUGGGUUCAUGUUUGACUUGUUAAAAGUGUUUUCAAGUAACUUUUGGAACCCCUAUGUACCCUAGUUUGGUUAUAUGUUAUUU
rnacentral:lncRNA from 1 species